ACCUUAAAUCUGUCAGAUUCUUUUGACAUUUGGGAGAGCCAUGAUAAGUCAUCCUUAGGGAAAUUUAAACCAAAACAAUCGUGAUGAUUGCGGAUAAUAUAGCAGGUGCAGUGUUAGUUGAUGAAGAAGCCGAGGAUCAUCAACGAGGCUUACGUAGAUUAUUAGAUGCGCGACGUAGGGCAAUUAGACGUACCUCAAAUCCCCUUGAAGAUUUGCCGGACUCGGUCUUCAAUAAAUACUACAGGGUUAGCAAGGAUUUUAUACGAGAACUGUGUGAACGAGUGGAACCCCACCUGCCAACUGAAGGCUUCACAUCCACGAUGUCGACACAGAUCAGUUUGGAUAAUAUUGAAUGCUAAUGACAUUAGAGGUUCAUUAAUUUCUAACCAAUUAUCAACCAUUAAUUUAUCACCAAUUAUAGAUCUUAUGCACGUUGCACUUUUUGGCUACUGGAAGCUAUCAAAGUCACGUUGGAGAGUCUAUGGACAUUGCAAUGUCUCAGCCAAAUGUGAGCCGCGUAAUUAAGAAUGUUACAGAAGCCAUUCUACAGCUUGAGAAUGAAUUCAUCAGUUUUCCUCGCACUGAAAAUGAGCGGCGAGUAAUUUCCGAAGGUUUAGAUUUCGAGGGAUGUGUCACUUUCCGGGAGUAAUAGGUUGUGUUGAUGGUACACAUAUUCCCAUUACCACUCCCUCCAGGGAGGCCUGGUCGUUCUUGAAUCAUAAAAGGUUUCACAGUCUUAAUGUUCAAGCAACGUGUGACGACAAGAGGUGUAUCACACCUUUAGAAGUGUUUGCAGGGACGACUCACGAUUCACGCGUGUGGAACGGCUCACAAGUCAAAGCUGAAAUUUGUCGUGUCAAUGGGGAAGGUCUUGGACCCUAUUAUCUACUCGGUGAAAAUAAUUCAUGUUUUCUUAUUCAUUAAAGUUUUUUUUGUCAUGUACACGCUCAAUCCUAGACGGAAUGCAUCAUAAAUAUUUAUUAUAAUAUGUCAGCUUCGCUGAAAUCUGUUUUUCUAUGCUUCAUGCAGUUCUUCUUUGUCCACAAAUUCAGCCUCAUCCUCCUGUACAUCAGGGUCUCUGAAAAAUAUAUUCAAUUACAUAUGUAUUCAAAUGAAUUAUUUCCUCAGGAGAUAAGGGAUACCCUUUGGGACCCUGUGUAGUGAUUCCGUAUAUGGCACCAGGUGCUGGAAGUCCAGAAGCACGCUUUAAUACGCGACAUAUGCAUACGAGAUGUAUAAUUGAAUGCACAUUUGGAAACUUGAAAGGGAAGUGGCGGUGUUUGAAACGUGAUAGAACACUGAACUAUCAGCCCUACAAAGCUUCUCGCUUACUAAAGUAUUGUGUUAUUCUACACAAUAUACUGAUUGGUCGAAGAGAUCCAGUAUACUUGGAUGAGAACUUUCCCCCAGAAGUGAACGACAUGGCCAGAGUCAUGGAUGAUGAAGAAGAGGGUCAAUGUGCCCUCGAUGAAGGUCGUGCACUUAGGAAUCGAAUCGUCGAGGAGUUUUUUUAAAUUUUUGGACAAUGAAGUUAUCAUUUCAAAAUUGUUCUCACCUUUCAUUUCCAACAUCUUCAUCUGCGUCUGUAUUUUGGUUUACUGGCGCCUCGUCUUCACUGUGAUCAAUAUUCAUCCCAUCAGCAAUCUUUUCCAAAGCCCUCACGCCACGAGGUAACCAUGUUUCCAACGUUGUAGAAAUCCUCUGUCAAUCAAAAAAAUUAUCCGAAUAAAAUAAAG